rnacentral:lncRNA from 1 species
AGUGAAACGGUCAAGCCUUUCAAAAAUCUAUGUAGAGUCUUGUCUUCCAUUGUACCAAGUAUAACGGGGUCCUUUAAAGCCAAGAUCUUUUAGUUCACAAUCAAAGAGCAUUUGCUGGAAACUUUCUAGUUGUUGUCGAGGUCUGUCCUAGCCAUCCCAUUUUUCCUCAUUAGAUAAAAUUUCGUUGAAGUCGCCAAAGACAAGCCAAGAUUCUAAAGGGUCUCUCUUCAUAUUCCACAAUAGUUUCCAGGUUUCCAUAUGUUUACUGGUAUCGGGGCGGCCAUAGAUACCUGUUAAAAACCAGGUAUGAAGGGGUGAGUCGAUUUGUGCAUCAAUGUGGCUUUUUGAGUAAUUGAGGAUAGUUAAUUGAACAUCAUGUUUCCAAAGGAUUGCAAUUCUUCCACUGCGCCCCACUACCUCCACAUUAAAACAGCCGUAGAACUUCAAUUUUAUUAAACAUAUUUCCAUUUUUGUUGUAUUCAGUUUUGUCUCUUGCAAGAACAAAACAUCGGGAUCUUCCUUUCUGAUAAUGUCAGAAAGAGCACGAAUGCCACGAGGGUUCCCAAGCCCUCGUGCAUUCCAACUUAACAACUUCAUGGCGAUUGGUGGGGCUGAGUUUUAGCCACCACCGAAAUUGGAGAGUUGGAACCGUAGUUCCAUUCAUGGGAUUUUUCUUUACCCUUCAGUCUUUUGGAGAUCUGAGUAGUUUUGCUAAUUUCAGGAGAAGUGUUAGAGAUAUCUUAAGGCUUGCUUGUGGAGUAGAGGUAAUAGAGCUAAGAAUCUUCGAUUUAUUUACUCUUUUCCAACGUCUGGUGAGGUUAGAAGCAUUUUCUGAAAUUGAAGUCCCACUAGAUUUGGAUAAUUCAGAGACAGGUUGUGAAGUGUCUGGAGUAUUCUUAGGCGAAUUUUCAGCAUCUCUACUGUCUUCUUUAAACACUUCCGUUUGAUUAGAAAUUAUGAAUCAGUCUGUUCCGAUAAUUGCUCCAGAUUUGUUACCUCUAGCAUCUCUGCAUUAUCUCCUUUCCCAACCUUUCCAUGUAAUUUCUCCUGAAUUUCAGCUGAGUUACUGUCAAUUGCCAUAUCUAUCAUUUCCUUGUCGUGAAUCUGGUCAUCGAAACUAGGCUUUGCCACCAGAGAAUUUGGGGCUCUGAAAUUCGUUUGACGAUCACGAAUUGG